ACGAUGUUCCGCUGCCAUUUAAAAGGCAUGAGCAUUGG
rfam:Virgibacillus chiguensis strain CGMCC 1.6496 genome assembly, contig: Ga0104465_102